rnacentral:rRNA from 1 species
UAACAACUCACCUGCCGAAUGAAUUAGCCCUGAAAAUGGAUGGCGCUGAAGCGGGCGGCCGACACCGCGCCGUCUGGACGAGGUAAAGUUUCAGAUGAGUAGGAGGGCGUGGGGGCCGUAUCGAAGCAUGCGCGCGAGCGCGUGUGGAACGGCCUCUAGUGCAGAUCUUGGUGGUAGUAGCAAGUAUUCAAGCGAGAUCCUUGAAGGGCGAAGCGGGGAAGGGUUCCACGCGAACAUUGAUUGGGCGUGGGUGAGUCGUUCCUAAGCCGAGUGGCGAUUGCUAAGUAGCGGCGAAAGGGAAGCGGGUUGAAAUUCCCGCACACGGAUGUGGACGCGGUGACGCGACUGAUGGGGCGAAGACGCUGGCGACGGCGCUGGGCAGAGUUGUCUUUUCUGUUUGACCAGGUUUGCGCGCGCGGUGUGGAAUCCGCUUGUCGGGAGAAACACGCGUGUGUGGGCAGAGCGCCGGGGCUUUUCCGGCGUCCAGCUCGCCGUCGACGGCCCUUGAAAAUUUGCCUGCUGAAUGAAUUGGAGCUUUUUUUUGUUUUGGUUCUGAAAUCCACGCCGUGGCGUACCGAUCACCGCAUCAGGUCCCCAAGGUGAACAGCCUCUGCUCAGUAUGAAAAAU